AACGCUGGCGGCAUGCCUAACACAUGCAAGUCGUACGAGAAAGUUGGCUUCGGCCGAUGAGUAAAGUGGCGCACGGGUGAGUAACGCGUGGAUAAUCUACCCCUCAGUUGGGAAUAACUCAUCGAAAGGUGGGCUAAUACCGAAUAAUACUGCAUGACUUCUGUUGUGUAGUCAAAGAUGGCCUCUGCUUGCAAGCUAUCGCUGAAGGAUGAGUCCGCGUACCAUUAGCUUGUUGGUAGGGUAAUGGCCUACCAAGGCAACGAUGGUUAGCUGGUCUGAGAGGAUGAUCAGCCACACUGGAACUGAGACACGGUCCAGACUCCUACGGGAGGCAGCAGUGAGGAAUAUUGCGCAAUGGGGGCAACCCUGACGCAGCAACGCCGCGUGAGUGAGGAAGGUUUUCGGACCGUAAAGCUCUGUCGAGCGGGAAGAAAUGCGUAGUGGCUAAUAUCCAUUAUGCUUGACGGUACCGCUAAAGGAAGCACCGGCUAACUCCGUGCCAGC
rnacentral:rRNA from 1 species